UACGUAGGGGGCAAGCGUUAUCCGGAUUUACUGGGUGUAAAGGGAGCGUAGACGGUGAUGCAAGUCAGAAGUGAAAGCCCGGGGCUCAACUCCGGGACUGCUUUUGAAACUGUGUGACUGGAGUGCAGGAGAGGUAAGCGGAAUUCCUGGUGUAGCGGUGAAAUGCGUAGAUAUCACGCAGAACCCCGAUUGCGAAGGCAGCAUACCGGCGCCCGACUGACGCUGAGGCACGAAAGUGCGGGUAUCGAACAGG
rnacentral:rRNA from 1 species